rnacentral:rRNA from 1 species
AUACCCUGGUAGUCCACGCUGUAAACGCUGUCGAUUUGGGGGUUGGGGUUUAACUCUGGCGCCCGUAGCUAACGUGAUAAAUCGACCGCCUGGGGAGUACGGCCGCAAGGUUAAAACUCAAAUGAAUUGACGGGGGCCCGCACAAGCGGUGGAGCAUGUGGUUUAAUUCGAUGCAACGCGAAGAACCUUACCUACUCUUGACAUCCUAAGAAGUUUGCAGAGAUGCGAAUGUGCCUUCGGGAACUUAGAGACAGGUGCUGCAUGCUGUCGUCAGCUCGUGUUGUGAAAUGUUGGGUUAAGUCCCGCAACGAGCGCAACCCUUAUCCUUUGUUGCCAGCGAUACGGUCGGGAACUCAAAGGAGACUGCCAGUGAUAAACUGGAGGAAGGUGGGGAUGACGUCAGUCAUCAUGGCCCUUACGAGUAGGGCUACACACGUGCUACAAUGGCGUAUACAGAGGGAAGCGAAGCUGCGAGGUGGAGCGAAUCUCAUAAAGUACGUCUAAGUCCGGAUUGGAGUCUGCA